UGCAGGUGUCGGUGUCCCACCAGAGAGCUCUUUUUACCUGAGUGGUACUUUGGAGGUGAGUGUUUUGUUUUUCCUUCAGCCCCUUGCAGGGUUCUUUAGAUGGGUCAGAGUAUAUGGGCUAAGAUGUUUCUAAGUUGAGAGAGAUAAGCAUGCCUUUUUGAGGUAAUAACUAGUAGGGUCUUUCAGAGUAAAGCAAACUGUAUAGUAGUAGGUACCUUUACUGCAUGCAGCUCUUCUUCAGAUUCACAAGAUGUAUGAGGUUGGAAGGGACCUCUGAAGAUCAUCUAGCCCAACCUCCAUGCCAAGCAGGAUCACCUAGAGAACGUUGUGCAGGAUGGCAUCCAGUGAAGUCAGUCCUCAUCAGCCACAAGGGAAGAAGAGGAUCAGGACAUCUCUGAUGUUCAAUAUUUAUGAUUGAGUACGGCUGGACAGACUGGAUCCAGGUCUCAUUUAUUCUGAAUGGUGCUUUUGGGUAGGCUUUGCUCUGUAUAUUAGAAGUUCCCAUGUUGGCUACUCAUGGCAGCUCCACUCUAAUUCCUGGGUGAGAGAGAAGACCUUAGUCUUUACACAUGAGGUGUUGCAAAAUAAUGUGUGCUUGUGAUUGCAAAUGAAAUUAUAAUUUCCUGUAUUUUUUACUCUGUGUAUCAGUAGCUGUAUAAGCAUGAUCAUGACUCAGAGAGAAAUUCAGAGAGAAAUUAACAUUUUUAUAAGUCCUUGAAGAGGCCUAGUUGAUUUAGGCUCUGAGCAUUUUAAAAACAGAUUAUCACCGAUUUAUUCUGUUUAGCUCAAAACAUAAAUAGAUAAAUUGAGGUGCCAGUACCCAUCUGUUGCUUAAGAGCCUCUUGGCUCAAAUAUAAUUUGAGUUUAUUUCCCUCUUAUAGUUCCCUCCUUAGAUCAAGGUGCUUCAUUUCUAAUACAGUGUUUGUGUGGAACUCUGUAUGCCCUUCCCAGAGUUUAGUUCUCUAAUGGCUUAACUAAAAUCAGACUCAUUCUAUUUGUUUUAUUUGGAUCAGUAAGAAUCAUGUUCUUUAACGGAACUUUAUGUUCUCCAAACAAUUUGCAGUCAAAUGAGUAGAGCACUCAUCUCAGAAGCAAGGAAUGUGUCCUUAAGCAUGUUAAGGCUAAAGCUGGAGUUCAGUGUUGAACUUCCUAGUUAAGUAUUCGGGAUAAUUGCGAAAUGUUGUUUCAGCAGCUCCUCCUACAGCUAUUGUGGCUUGGAAGCAUUGAAACCUUCUGAAGAUAGAUUACUUUAGAUGUGUGCUCAGUAUGUAAUAUUUUUGAGUCACUCUUCAUAGUCGUUAAUCACUCUUCAUCAGUUAUCCUUUCCAUAUGUCAUAUAAGAAGUGUUAGGUAUCUAAACUGUAUGUUCUGAACCACAGUCCUGGGGCUAGGUAUUUAUAUUUUAAAACACUGCCUUGUCUUCAUUGGUAAUGUCUAAGUGGAGUUUCUGUAUCUCAUGUGUAUACUUAUGUCAA